UGGAACGGUCAUAGCGGAGAGGUUACACCUGAACCCAUUUCGAACUCAGAAGUUAAGGGCUCCAGCGAAGUCAUGUGUACUGGACUUAUGUCCGGGAAAUUGUAUACGCUGUUCCAU
rnacentral:rRNA from 1 species